AUUGAACGCUGGCGGCAUGCCUUACACAUGCAAGUCGAACGGCAGCACGGGUGCUUGCACCUGGUGUCGAGUGGCGAACGGGUGAGUAAAACAUCGGAACAUGUCCUGUAGUGGGGGAUAGCCCGGCGAAAGCCGGAUUAAUACCGCAUACGAUCUACGGAGGAAAGCGGGGGACCUUCGGGCCUCGCGCUAUAGGGUUGGCCGAUGGCUGAUUAGCUAGUUGGUGGGGUAAAGGCCUACCAAGGCGACGAUCAGUAGCUGGUCUGAGAGGACGACCAGCCACACUGGGACUGAGGAACGGCCAGACUCCUACGGGAGGCAGCAGUGGGGAAUUUUGGACAAUGGGCGAAAGCCUGAUCCAGCAAUGCCGCGUGUGUGAAGAAGGCCUUCGGGUUGUAAAGCACUUUUGUCCGGAAAGAAAUCCUUGGCCCUAAUACGGUCGGGGGAUGACGGUACCGGAAGAAUAAGCACCGGCUAACUACGUG
rnacentral:rRNA from 1 species